rnacentral:rRNA from 1 species
GACAGAGGGGGCAAGCGUUGCUCGGAAUCACUGGGCGUAAAGGGCGCGUAGGCGGGAUGGCAAGUCGGUCGUGAAAUCCUUCGGCUCAACCGAAGAACGUCGGCCGAUACUGCCGUUCUUGAGGGAUGCAGAGGAGAUUGGAAUUCCCGGUGUAGCGGUGAAAUGUGUAGAGAUCGGGAGGAACACCGGUGGCGAAGGCGGGUCGCUGGGCAUCUCCUGACGCUGAGGCGCGAAAGCGUGGGGAGCAAACG